GACGAACGCUGGCGGCGUGCCUAAUACAUGCAAGUCGAACGCUUCUUUCCUCCCGAGUGCUUGCACUCAAUUGGAAAGAGGAGUGGCGGACGGGUGAGUAACACGUGGGUAACCUACCCAUCAGAGGGGGAUAACACUUGGAAACAGGUGCUAAUACCGCAUAACAGUUUAUGCCGCAUGGCAUAAGAGUGAAAGGCGCUUUCGGGUGUCGUUGAUGGAUGGACCCGCGGUGCAUUAGCUAGUGGGUGAGGUAACGGCUCACCAAGGCCACGAUGCCUAGCCGGCCUGAGAGGGUGAUCGGCCACACUGUGACUGAGACACGUCCCAGACUCCUACGGGAGGCAGCAGUAGGGAAUCUUCGGCAAUGGACGAAAGUCUGACCGAGCAACGCCGCGUGAGUGAAGAAGGUUUUCGGAUCGUAAAACUCUGUUGUUAGAGAAGAACAAGGGCGUUAGUAACUGAACGUCCCCUGACGGUAUCUAACCAGAAAGCCACGGCUAACUACGUG
rnacentral:rRNA from 1 species